UCGUAACAAGGUUUCCGUAGGUGAACCUGCGGAAGGAUCAUUACCGAGUGAGGACCUAACCGGUCCAACCUCCCACCCGUGUCUAUCGUACCUUGUUGCUUCGGCGGGCCCGCCAUUCGUGGCCGCCGGGGGGCAUCUCGCCCCCGGGCCCGCGCCCGCCGGAGACACCAACACGAACACUGUCUGAAGGUUGCAGUCUGAGUCGAUUUAUUUAAUCGUUAAAACUUUCAACAACGGAUCUCUUGGUUCCGGCAUCGAUGAAGAACGCAGCGAAAUGCGAUAAUUAAUGUGAAUUGCAGAAUUCAGUGAAUCAUCGAGUCUUUGAACGCACAUUGCGCCCCCUGGUAUUCCGGGGGGCAUGCCUGUCCGAGCGUCAUUGCUGCCCUCAAGCACGGCUUGUGUGUUGGGUCGCCGUCCCCUUCCCGGGGGACGGGCCCGAAAGGCAGCGGCGGCACCGCGUCCGGUCCUCGAGCGUAUGGGGCUUUGUCACCCGCUCUGUAGGCCCGGCCGGCGCCUGCCGACCACCAACCUUUUUUUAACCAGGUUGACCUCGGAUCAGGUAGGGAUACCCGCUGAACUUAAGCAUAUCAAUAA
rnacentral:misc_RNA from 2 species